GACGAACGCUGGCGGCGUGCUUUAGACAUGCAAGUCGAACGAGAUCUUCGGAUCUAGUGGCGAACGGCGGAGUAAUACAUAAACAACGUGCCCUGAAGACUGGGAUAUACGGUCGAAAGGCCGAGCAAUACCGGAUGUGGCCGAGACUAGGCAUCUAGACUCGAUUAAAUGGUUUUUCGCUUCAGGAGCGGUUUAUGACUCAUCAGCUAGUUGGUAGGGUAAUGGCCUACCAAGGCUACGACGGGUAGGGGGUCUGAGAGGAUGAUCCCCCCGAGUGGGACUGAGACACGGCCCACACACCUACGGGUGGCAGCAGUUUGGAAUCUUGCCCAAUGGGGGAAACCCUGAGGCAGCGACGCCGCGUGGAGGAUGAAGGAUUUAGGCUGUAAACUCCUUUUGCCAGGAAAGACUUAGGACGGUACCUGGCGAAUAAGCUCCGGCUAACUACGUGCCAGCAGCCG
rnacentral:rRNA from 1 species